rnacentral:lncRNA from 1 species
GGACCGCCCACUUAUCCAGUAAGGUGGCCCCGUCACCUCUUUUCCUGAGGACCAGGCAGACAUUCAGUUACUGAAACGCAACAAAGACAGGGAGUCAGACUGGUCGUGCAAGGUCCUGGGCCUGCCCUUGGGUCCUGGGGAGCCACGGAAGGUUGUGGGUGCUAGAAGGUUUUGGUCAGAGUCACACUCAGGGGCCUUCUGAGACCUGUGCCCCCUCCCUACCCCCCCUCCCCACCUCAUCAGGCCAGCUCUGGGGCCUCGACAGGUGGUCCGCAACAUGACCUCUGAGUUCUUCGCUGCCCAGCUCCGGGCCCAGAUCUCUGACAACAGCACUCACCCGAUCUCCUACUACAAGCCCGAGUUCUACACGCCGGAUGACA